GACGAACGCUGGCGGCGUGCUUAACACAUGCAAGUCGAACGGAAAGGCCCUGCUUUUGUGGGGUGCUCGAGUGGCGAACGGGUGAGUAACACGUGAGUAACCUGCCCUUGACUUUGGGAUAACUUCAGGAAACUGGGGCUAAUACCGGAUAGGAGCUCCUGCUGCAUGGUGGGGGUUAGAAAGUUUCGGCGGUUGGGGAUGGACUCGCGGCUUAUCAGCUUGUUGGUGGGGUAGUGGCUUACCAAGGCUUUGACGGGUAGCCGGCCUGAGAGGGUGACCGGCCACAUUGGGACUGAGAUACGGCCCAGACUCCUACGGGAGGCAGCAGUAAGGAAUAUUGCACAAUGGGCGGAAGCCUGAUGCAGCAACGCCGCGUGCGGGAUGACGGCCUUCGGGUUGUAAACCGCUUUCGCCUGUGACGAAGAGUGAGUGACGGUAAUGGGUAAAGAAGCACCGGCUAACUACGUG
rnacentral:rRNA from 1 species